rnacentral:other from 1 species
GUUUACCGCCGUGUAGGCGGCUUAGAAA